AGGAGGAACAGCCCCAGUGGCGGGGCGGCUCUGGAAACCUGGAUUCAGCUCCGGCAGGAACUCCGUCUGCAGGGCCUGGAGGCUCCGGGCGGGG
rnacentral:pre_miRNA from 1 species